GACGAACGCUGGCGGCGUGCCUAAUACAUGCAAGUCGAGCGGAAGUUGGAGAGCUUGCUCUUCAACUUUAGCGGCGGACGGGUGAGUAACACGUGGGCAACCUGCCCUGCAGAUCGGGAUAACUCCGGGAAACCGGUGCUAAUACCGAAUAGUUUUCGCCACCUCCUGGUGGCGUACGGAAAGACGGUUUCGGCUGUCACUGCAGGAUGGGCCCGCGGCGCAUUAGCUAGUUGGUGGGGGAACGGCCCACCAAGGCAACGAUGCGUAGCCGACCUGAGAGGGUGAUCGGCCACACUGGGACUGAGACACGGCCCAGACUCCUACGGGAGGCAGCAGUAGGGAAUCUUCCGCAAUGGACGAAAGUCUGACGGAGCAACGCCGCGUGAGUGACGAUGGUUUUCGGUUCGUAAAACUCUGUUGUGAGGGAAGAACAAGUACCAACUAACUACUGGUACCUUGACGGUACCUCACCAGAAAGCCACGGCUAACUACGUGCCAGCCGCCGCGGUAAAAC
rnacentral:rRNA from 1 species